AAUGAACGCUGGCGGCAUGCCUUACACAUGCAAGUCGAACGGCAGCAUGACCUCGCUUGCUAGGUUGAUGGCGAGUGGCGAACGGGUGAGUCAUGCAUCGGCACGUGCCUUUUAGUGGGGGAUAACGUAGCGAAAGUUACGCUAAUACCGCUUAUUCUCUGAGGAGGAAAGCAGGGGAACUUCGGGCCUUGCGCUAGUAGAGCGGCCGCUGUCGGAGUAGCUAGUUGGGGAGGUAAAGGCUCACCCAGGGAACGAUCGGUAGCGGGUCUGAGAGGAUGAUCCGGCACAGUGAGAGUGAGACACGGCACAGACUCCGACGGGAGGCAGCAGUGGGGAAGGUUGGAAAAUGGGGGCAAGCCUGAUCCAGCCAUGCCGCGUGGGUGAAGAAGGCCUUCGGGUGGGAAAGCUGUUUCGGCUGGGAAGAAAUCGCACCCUCUAAUACAGGGUGUGGAUGACGGUACCAGCAUAAGAAGAACGGGCUAACUACGU
rnacentral:rRNA from 1 species